CAGCCGCCGCGGUAAUACGAAGGGUGCAAGCGUUACUCGGAAUUACUGGGCGUAAAGCGUGCGUAGGUGGUGGUUUAAGUCCGUUGUGAAAGCCCUGGGCUCAACCAGGGAAUUGCAGUGGAUACUGGCUCGCUAGAGUGUGUCGGAGGAUGGUGGAAUUCCCGGUGUAGCGGUGAAGUGCGUAGAGAUCGGGAGGAACAUCAGUGGCGAAGGCGGCCAUCUGGGACAACACUGACGCUGAGGCACGAAAGCGUGGGGAGCAAACAGGAUUAGAUACCCGAGUAGUCCCUGUCUCUUAUAC
rnacentral:rRNA from 1 species